CACGCUGUAAACGUUGUAUACUAGGUGUUAGCGGGUUACCGCUAGUGCCGCAGCAAACGCAUUAAGUAUACCGCCUGGGGAGUACGCCCGCAAGGGUGAAACUCAAAGAAAUUGACGGGGGCCCGCACAAGCGGUGGAGCAUGUGGUUUAAUUCGAUGAUACGCGAAAAACCUUACCUGGGCUUGAACUGUGCUUGACAGGUGUAGAGAUACACUCUUCUUCGGACAGGUACAGAGGUGCUGCAUGGUUGUCGUCAGCUCGUGUCGUGAGAUGUUGGGUUAAGUCCCGUAACGAGCGCAACCCUUGUCCUUAGUUGCUAGCAGGUUAAGCUGAGAACUCUAAGGAGACUGCCGGUGACAAACCG
rnacentral:rRNA from 1 species